GUGGGGAAUAUUGCACAAUGGGCGCAAGCCUGAUGCAGCAACGCCGCGUGCGGGAUGACGGCCUUCGGGUUGUAAACCGCUUUCAGCAGGGACGAAGCUUUUUGUGACGGUACCUGCAGAAGAAGCACCGGCUAACUACGUGCCAGCAGCCGCGGUGAUACGUAGGGUGCGAGCGUUGUCCGGAUUUAUUGGGCGUAAAGGGCUCGUAGGCGGUUGAUCGCGUCGGAAGUGGAAACUUGAUGCUUAACGUUGAGCGUGCUUUCGAUACGGGUUGACUUGAGGAAGGUAGGGGAGAAUGGAAUUCCUGGUGGAGCGGUGGAAUGCGCAGAUAUCAGGAGGAACACCAGUGGCGAAGGCGGUUCUCUGGACCUUUCCUGACGCUGAGGAGCGAAAGCGUGGGGAGCGAACAGGCUUAGAUACCCUAGUAGUCC
rnacentral:rRNA from 2 species